rnacentral:rRNA from 1 species
GAACGCUGGCGGCAGGCCUAACACAUGCAAGUCGAGCGGUAACAUUUCUAGCUUGCUAGAAGAUGACGAGCGGCGGACGGGUGAGUAACGCGUAGAAAUCUACCUAGUAGUGGGGGAUAGCCCAGAGAAAUUUGGAUUAAUACCGCAUACGCCCUACGGGGGAAAGCGGGGGAUCUUCGGACCUCGUGCUAUUAGAUGAGUCUGCGUCGGAUUAGCUUGUUGGUGAGGUAAUGGCUCACCAAGGCGACGAUCCGUAGCUGGUCUGAGAGGAUGACCAGCCACACUGGAACUGAGACACGGUCCAGACUCCUACGGGAGGCAGCAGUGGGGAAUAUUGCACAAUGGGCGCAAGCCUGAUGCAGCCAUGCCGCGUGUGUGAAGAAGGCCUUAGGGUUGUAAGGCACUUUCAGCAGUGAGGAAAGGGGUGUCGUUAAUAGCGCCAUCCUGUGACGUUAACUGCAGAAGAAGGACCGGCUAACUCCGUG